GCCCCCAUCGUCUAGCGGUCAGGACUCCACUCUUUCAAGGUGGCGACAGGGGUUCGACUCCCCUUGGGGGCA
rfam:Gemmatimonas sp. SG8_28 WOR_8-12_25909, whole genome shotgun sequence.